rnacentral:rRNA from 1 species
GGGAAACUUUGGCUAAUACCGCAUGAAGACUCUAAGGCAUCUUAGAGGGAUAAAAGUUGGGAAACAACGCAUGAAGAUGGGCUUAUGGCGCAUUAGCUAGUUGGUGAGAUAGAAGCCCACCAAGGUAAUGAUGCGUAGCCGACCUGAGAGGGUGAACGGCCACAUUGGGACUGAGACACGGCCCAAACUCCUACGGGAGGCAGCAGUAGGGAAUUUUCGGCAAUGGGGGGAACCCCGACCCAGCGACGCCGCGUGAGGGAAGAAGGCCUUUGGGUCGUAAACCUCUGUUGUAUGGGAAGAAGGAAGUGACGGUACCAUACGAGGAAGUCCCGGCUAACUACGUGCCAGCAGCCGCGGUAAUACGUAGGGGACGAGCGUUGUCCGGAAUUACUGGGCGUAAAGGGCGCGCAGGCGGAUAUUUAAGUCAGCUGUUAAAGUCAUGGGCUCAACUCAUGGAUGCGGUUGAAACUGGGUAUCUAGAGUGCUGGAGAGGUAGGCGGAAUUCCCGGUGUAGCGGUGAAAUGCGUAGAUAUCGGGAAGAACACCAGUGGCGAAGGCGGCUUACUGGCCAGCAACUGACGCUGAGGCGCGAAAGCCAGGGGAGCGAACGGGAUUAGAUACCCCGGUAGUCCUGGCCGUAAACGAUGAAUGCUAGGUAUGGGUGUCGAGAGGCAUCCGUGCCGGAGUUAACGCGAUAAGCAUUCCGCCUGGGGAGUACGGUCGCAAGAUUGAAACUCAAAGGAAUUGACGGGGGCCCGCACAAGCGGUGGAGCACGUGGUUUAAUUCGAUGCAAACCGAAGAA